UUGAGAUUCACAACAGCUAGUGUGUCCGUGAGCUUCUCUCUUCCAUGUGCGUGUGUGUGUAAGCAGCACUAGUGAGUGUGUGUGCUUUGCUAGUGUGCUGAGCGCAGGCAGUAGUAGCACUUGGCUCUUCCACCGGUCGUGUAUCAGUGUACUCGAGUGCUAGCGAGUAGUUCUGGGCUAACAUGGCAAACACCCUGAAGGGCGUUGGCCUGGAUGCUGCCGGCGAGGUGCGUCGCUACCCAUGUCGGAGAUGAGAAAUUCACUAUAGCGAGCAGCAAGCAGCGACCACAUCGGCCGAAAGAAAAGCCAAUGCUUCCUCGGGAUCACCGGGGAUGGAUGCAACUCCUCGCAGUGGACGUGGAUGCCGAUGCUUCCCCAGGACAACGGAUGCAUCUUGAGUUCGGGCACACCGCGACAACCGACAUUCAUGGUGAAGGCGGACGACAGCGGUUGCGCCCACACCGGCGGCCUCAUCGACGUGUUGCCAGUGGCGGCAGUCAAAGCAGCGCGAGGAGGCGUCACCUUAACGGGGAGCUUGGGAGGAGCACGGUUGACCACUGCUCUCGUGGGGAUCCAGAUUCAGAUCCCGCACACACACCAGUUGAUACAGCCACGCCUGGUCCUACUACCAUGCAUGCGGUUGGAUUAAUGGUGCAAAAGUGUGUUGUGUUCAACCAUGACUUAAGCCAAGCUUCGUUUGAGACCCACAAGGAGGAAAGGUUUAAAUUGCUUUUGUAUUUCUUGUUGAGAUCAACAAGCCCGCAACAUGAGGAGUUCCAUGCGUACGUGCUACGAGAAGAUAAGAAGAUGAGCUGGUUUGAAAGGAACAAAAUCGAUAUAUAUUUCUUGUUUUAUUUCUUACCAUGCAAGGAGUACAACACGAUGGUUAUGAGAACCUAUACGUGUGAUCUGCUUUCCUUGAAGGAAUCCGGUUGGGGCCCACCUGGCAAACUAGAUGUAAAUGCACCAACUUUAUUAGAGUCAAGUCAAAUUAGUUU